GGAAACAUCAGCUCCUGAAGGGCUCCGAGUGUCUCAAUUUCCACAGAUGGUUUAGGACAUUGGUUUCAGAGUAUCCAAUCAAAAGCUGCUAUAUAUUUCUGAAACCCUCCACCUAGAUGACAGCAGAGAAAUUGCACAACUUCUAGACCAAUUCUUUUAUAAUUGCCUUCCUGAAUAACUGUUUCCUCUUUCCCUUCACAACAUAACCCACUGAAGAAUCAAAAUUGGUUUGAUUGACAAAACACAAACAGCUUCAGGAACGUCAGAUGACCUUGAUUACCCAAAACUAGUUCCAGUGAGGAAACAACUUCAUAGAGGACUUGGUGUAAAAUUCUACAUCGAGCUUACGUUAAUUACCGUGAUGUUUAAGUAGCAUAGUCAGUGUGAUUAGCAUCAAUAGGCCUAGACCAGAGUCUAACUCUUUUCUUCAUCAGCAAGUUCUGCAGAAACAUCAGCAGAAGAAUCAACAGUUCCACUGCAACUGCCCGCUACAGUUACUUCAUGAGUUUCUGCCUGACCAGGAUCAGAGUGAAC
rnacentral:misc_RNA from 1 species